UACGAAGGGGGCUAGCGUUGCUCGGAAUCACUGGGCGUAAAGCGCGCGUAGGCGGAUCGUUAAGUCGGGGGUGAAAUCCUGGAGCUCAACUCCAGAACUGCCUUUGAUACUGGCGAUCUUGAGUCCGGGAGAGGUGAGUGGAACUCCGAGUGUAGAGGUGAAAUUCGUAGAUAUUCGGAAGAACACCAGUGGCGAAGGCGGCUCACUGGCCCGGUACUGACGCUGAUGUGCGAAAGCGUGGGGAGCAAACAGG
rnacentral:rRNA from 1 species